rnacentral:tRNA from 1 species
UAGGAACUUAGGCUAAUAUAGACCAAAGGCCUUCAAAGCCUUUAGUGAAGGUUAAACUCCUUCAGUU